rnacentral:tRNA from 1 species
GGCCCCAUCGUCUAGUGGCCUAGGACGUCAGGUUCUCAUCCUGAAGAUCUCCGGUUCGAAUCCGGAUGGGGUCACAA